CCCUUAGAUGUUCUGGGCCGCACGCGCGCUACACUGACGAAUGCAACGAGCUUAUAACCUUGUCCGAAAGGUCUGGGUAAUCUCCAAAUUUCGUCGUGAUGGGGAUAGAUUAUUGCAAUUAUUAAUCUUCAACGAGGAAUGCCUAGUAAGCGCAAGUCAUCAGCUUGCGUUGAUUACGUCUCUGCCCUUUGUACACACCGCCCGUCGCUCCUACCGAUUGAAUGGUCCGGUGAAGCGUUCGGACCGUGGCCUUUGGACGGUUCGCCGUCUGUUGGCUGCGGGAAGUUCGUUAAACCUUAUCAUUUAGAGGAAGGAGAAGUCGUAACA
rnacentral:rRNA from 1 species